CAGACCCUACGGGGUGCAGCAGGCGCGAAAACUUGACAAUGCGAGAAAUCGUGAUCAGGGAACUCCAAGUGGACCAGUUAUUACUGGUUUCUGAACUGACUCUAAACAGGUCGGGUAAUAGGGGCGGGAAAUAUCGGUGCCAGCCGCCGCGGUAAUACCGAAGCCCCAAGUGGUCGUCGAUCUUAUUGGGCCUAAAACGUCCGUAGCCGGUUUGGUACAUUCGUGGGUAAAUCAAACAGCUUAACUGUUUGAAUUCUGCGAGGACGGCCAAACUUGAGACCGGGAGAGGUGUAGGGUACCUGCGGGGUAGGGGUAAAAUCCUGUCAUCCCGUAGGGACCACCAGUUGCGAAGGCUCUACACUAGAACGGAUCUGACGGUCAGGGACGAAGCCUAGGGGCACGAACCGGAUUAGAUACCCGGGUAGUCCUAGGUGUAAACGCUGUGGACUUUGUGUCGGGGGUCUUUCGAGGACUCUCGGUGCCGGAGUGAAGAUGUUAAGUCCACUGCCUGGGGAGUACGGUCGCAAGGCUGAAACUUAAAGGAAUUGGCGGGGGAGCACUGCAACGAGAGGAGCGUGCGGUUUAAUUGGAUUCAACGCCGGAAAACUCACCAAAGCCGACUGUUAGAUGAAGACCAGCGUAACGAGCUUGUCGGAUUUUCAGAGAGGUAGUGCAUGGCCGUCGUCAGUUCGUACCGUAAGGCGUUCUGUUAAGUCAGAUAACGAAC
rnacentral:rRNA from 1 species